AUUCUUUCAUUAUCUAAAUAUAGAUCUUGCAAGUCUAUUUCAUACCAUUCUUGAUUUAAUAUAUCUUUUAAUUCGUAGUCAUCAUAUAUUUUUUCCCAUAUGAUUCUUCUUAAUUCAAUUAUUUCUAUACCGUUGAGUAUAUAUAGGAUUAAAGUUUCAUAGUUUUUUAUUAUUUCGUCAUGCAUAUACGUAGUCAUGUUCGUUGUUUAUGCAGUUUUUAUUUUCAAC
rnacentral:lncRNA from 1 species